ACUUGUCCAGAUGUCAAAAGAUCCGAUGAUGCCAAAACACCUGCAGAUAGGAAAGAAGGUGGCAUUGACAGACCUCCAGGAUGUACACCUGAAACACACUUUGUUUUCACUUCAGGCUCAUGUUUCACCUUUUUAAAAAGCAUUCAGAAUUUCCCUGACUUCUUGGAAAUCCCCAAAAAAAGCCUGACUCUGGGAAAAAAGCACAAAAGGGAGAGGAAGGGAGGAGGUGGUCAGAUCCCAGAAAUUCCAAAAACUCCUUUAAAGCAGCAAGUGCAGGGCGUGAAAAGGAGGAGCCAUGCUAGAGGAGAGCCUGGGAAUGGGGAAAUGAUUACAGGCUGUGAUCUCACUGGCACAGCCCCUCUCAGCGGCAGUGGAAAGCACAGCCUAGACUUCUCACCACUGCACACCAGAAUCCUGCCCUGGGCCUUCCCUGGUCUGCCUGACUCUGCCAUGGGCUGCAGGCUCCUCUGCUGUGUGGUCCCUCUGCCUCCUCCAAGCAGAUCCGUUGGACACAGCCGUUUCCCAAACUCUAAAAUAUCUGGUCACGCAGACGGGAGAAAAGGAGUCCCUUAAAUGUGAACAAAAUCUGGGCCAUAAUGCUAUGUAUUGGUAUAAGCAGGACUCUAAGAAAUUGCUGCAGAUAAUGUUUAUCUACAAUAAUCAGGAGCCCAUUUUAAAUGAAACAGUUCCAGAUCGCUUCUCACCUAAGUCUCCAGACAAAGCUCAUUUAAUUCUUCACAUCAAAUCCGUGGAGCUUGGUGACUCUGCUGUGUAUUUCUGUGCCAGCAGCCAAGACACAGCCCUGCAAAGUCACCACAUCCCUGUGCACAAACCUCCCAGCUCAGCCAGGAAGCUGUGGGCCAGUGCGUGCACCUGCACCCAAGGCUCCAGUCUCCACUCCCUGAUGGCCUCUGAUGGAGUUUCAGUCCGUAGUAUAGCCGGCUAG